AACACCGCGCAAUUCAGAGAUAGCACUUCCCAGCUUGAAACGAGGCAACUUUUUUCACUUCCAGCCGACCCUCUUUUACUCCACUCCGUAUCCCCUAGCAAAUUUGGAACCGAAAGCAACCAACAGGGGCCAUCUACACAACUUCAUGAACGAGAGAAAAAAAAAAAAAAAAAAAAAAAAGGAAAAGAAAGAAAAAAAAACGCUCCGUCGCCAUAGAAGACAACCGCCGGCGGACUUUAAUGUACGGCCUCAAGUCAUCUCAUUUCAUUUGCAUCAGGUCAAGGAGUGGUUGGAGCCCAGAGCAACAUCCAUUUCAACCGCUCCUCAAAUUUUUGGCGGCUUAGGAAAUUCAACGACUAGCACUUCACCUCGCCAGGCACACAGUUGAUAAAAGCGCAGAUAAUCUAUGAAUAACUGCUCCUCUGCUCCUCUGCUCCUGUCUUUUCCUCUUGUUCUUCCUUUCAAUGUAGCCUUUUGCACUGUCCAUGUUUUAUGUGUCAAGGGGCUAUGAUUUAACACUGUCCUUUGUUUCAAAAGGUUAAUAAUAAUAACAAUAAGAAGAAUCAAGAAUCAUUUCAUCAAUUACAUUGAUGUUCCAGGUGCGCGCUAUCAUCAGCUUAGUAAAAUUAAAUAAAAGAAAAGAAAGAAAAGAAAAGCAACGCUCAACCUCUGCUCUCUAGCCUACUCAAGGCCGCCAACACAAUGGCCAAAUCCUCCUUCUCUAUUCUCAAAUCAUCCUUCUCAUCCACAUCUGCAUCUCCCCCGUCGCCUGCUCCUUCAUCGCCCUCCGCCGCCUCACCAUCUUUCUGUUUACCCUUUCUCCUUCUCGUUCUCAUCGUGCGGCCGUUGGCACUGCUACCUAGCUCCUCCCCGCCUAUUCGUUUCUGCCGUAACUGAUCGCGCUCUUCCAGUAGACGCGCACAAAUCGCAAGAACCUGCCCUGCCACGUCAUCCGCUGCGCGGCGGAAUAGUUCGAUGUCGUGGAUUCCCGAGGCGAAGGAGUCAAGGGUUGGGAUUAAGGAUGUCGUUAGGUGGGAAAGGCGGGAUGUUAUGUUGGAUAUUGAAGUACAGGAUGAGUCUGUUUGCGCGGUUGGUGCAGAUUCAUCGGAAGGUGCGCGGGUAGAGUUCAAUGGAUUCAGAGCCGUCAGGAUUGCUAGUUGAGAAGAGUCGAGGAGGGCCGGCUUUAUUACGUCUGUUUGUGGUGUGCAUGUGGAUGGUUGUUGAUUUUCGGAUUGUUGUGUGGAUGUUGAAGACGGAGGUUUUAUUUUUGGAAUUGACGGUGGCCGUAAGAGAGAUGUAAGUGAUUGUCGCUCUAGUUGCAAUUUAUGUAUCUGCUCCUCCAAUUCUUUAAUUUUCUCCGCGUUUUGUAUAUUCCUUGGAUUUGGUUUCUUUACUACUACGGCCGGCGGUGUGGUUUCUUGCCGACCAAACCAGUCCGAAAGCUCAGGCCGAUUCGCGAAAUCCUCAAGUAGUUCCUCCUGUAUUACCCGAGCAGCUAAUCUAGCACUUUCGUCCCCCGACCUAGAUCCAGAUGGCUUCUCCCCUAAUGCUCUGGUCGCGCACCACGUAAGGAGCUGUCUCAUUCUCUUGGGCUCUGACAAGCCCUCACAUUCGAUAUGUUUGU
rnacentral:sRNA from 1 species